AGGAAGGCAUUGGAUGGAGAACAGAUGAGCUGUUGCCAUGGCCUGAGGCUGGAGGAUGAUCUGACUAUAAAGAACCACCCUGAGAAAACAUGGGUCCAUGAUGCUGACCAGGAGUCCUUUCUUCUAUCCCUCUCCCUUCACUGUGUGCAAAAUCAACUGGUGAGAGAGAGUCUCACCCACAAGGUUUCCUCAUGUCCUAUGGUCCAAAAGAACAGUUUAGGAAGAGCAACUACUACCAACCAGUAUUUCCACACAAUGAAGUUCAUUCUUCAAUGAAACCUCUCUAAGACCUUACAAGUUCAAGGG